rnacentral:rRNA from 1 species
UACGAAGGGGGCUAGCGUUGCUCGGAAUGACUGGGCGUAAAGGGCGCGUAGGCGGUUUGUACAGUCAGAUGUGAAAUUCCUGGGCUUAACCUGGGGGCUGCAUUUGAUACGUGCAGACUUGAGUGAGGAAGAGGGUUGUGGAAUUCCCAGUGUAGAGGUGAAAUUCGUAGAUAUUGGGAAGAACACCGGUGGCGAAGGCGGCAACCUGGUCCGUGACUGACGCUGAGGCGCGAAAGCGUGGGGAGCAAACAGG